CCUACGGGUGGCUGCAGUGGGGAAUAUUGGACAAUGGGGGGAACCCUGAUCCAGCCAUGCCGCGUGUGUGAAGAAGGCCCUCGGGUUGUAAAGCACUUUCAGUGAGGAAGAACGCCUGGUGGUUAAUACCCAUCAGGAAAGACAUCACUCACAGAAGAAGCACCGGCUAACUCCGUGCCAGCAGCCGCGGUAAUACGGAGGGUGCGAGCGUUAAUCGGAAUUACUGGGCGUAAAGCGCGCGUAGGUGGCUUGAUAAGCCGGUUGUGAAAGCCCCGGGCUCAACCUGGGAACGGCAUCCGGAACUGUCAAGCUAGAGUGCAGGAGAGGAAGGUAGAAUUCCCGGUGUAGCGGUGAAAUGCGUAGAGAUCGGGAGGAAUACCAGUGGCGAAGGCGGCAUUCUGGACUGACACUGACACUGAGGUGCGAAAGCGUGGGUAGCAAACAGGAUUAGAUACCCUUGUAGUC
rnacentral:rRNA from 1 species